AUGAUGAGUGAACAAUAUCAAAUGUCUAUGAUGGGAGAAUUGAAAUUCUUCUUAGGUCUUCAAAUUCGUCAACAGCGUAACUGCAUCUUCAUAUCUCAGGAGAAAUACCUCAGGGAUGUAUUGAGGAAAUUUGGCAUGCAAGAUUGCAAAGGCGUCAAAAUCCCUAUGCCCACAAAUGGCCAUCUAUGCACUGAUGAAAAUGGUAUUGACUUCGAUCAAAAGGUAUACCGCUCCAUGAUUGGCUCUCUAUUGUAUUUAUGUGCAUCUAGGCCAGAUAUUAUGCUUAGUGUUUGCAUGUGUGCCCGUUUUCAAGCUACACCGAAGGACACCAUAAGGUUGUGA
rnacentral:rRNA from 1 species